rnacentral:rRNA from 1 species
CAUGCAGCUGAGCGGUAGAGAUCUUUCGGGAUCUUGAGAGCGGCGUACGGGUGCGGAACACGUGUGCAACCUGCCUUUAUCAGGGGGAUAGCCUUUCGAAAGGAAGAUUAAUACCCCAUAAUAUAUAGAGUGGAAUCACUUUAUAUUGAAAACUGAGGUGGAUAAAGAUGGGCACGCGCAAGAUUAGAUAGUUGGUGAGGUAACGGCUCACCAAGUCGAUGAUCUUUAGGGGGCCUGAGAGGGUGAUCCCCCACACUGGUACUGAGACACGGACCAGACUCCUACGGGAGGCAGCAGUGAGGAAUAUUGGACAAUGGGUUAGCGCCUGAUCCAGCCAUCCCGCGUGAAGGACGACGGCCCUAUGGGUUGUAAACUUCUUUUGUACAGGGAUAAACCUUUCCACGUGUGGGAAGCUGAAGGUACUGUACGAAUAAGCACCGGCUAACUCCGUGCCAGCAGCCGCGGUAAUACGGAGGGUGCAAGCGUUAUCCGGAUUUAUUGGGUUUAAAGGGUCCGUAGGCGGAUGCGUAAGUCAGUGGUGAAAUCUCACAGCUCAACUGUGAAACUGCCAUUGAUACUGCGUGUCUUGAGUGAGGUUGAAGUAGCUGGAAUAAGUAGUGUAGCGGUGAAAUGCAUAGAUAUUACUUAGAACACCAAUUGCGAAGGCAGGUUACUAAGUCUCAACUGACGCUGAUGGACGAAAGCGUGGGGAGCGAACAGGAUUAGAUACCCUGGUAGUCCACGCUGUAAACGAUGCUAACUCGUUUUUGGGCUUUCGGGUUCAGAGACUAAGCGAAAGUGAUAAGUUAGCCACCUGGGGAGUACGAACGCAAGUUUGAAACUCAAAGGAAUUGACGGGGGCCCGCACAAGCGGUGGAUUAUGUGGUUUAAUUCGAUGAUACGCGAGGAACCUUACCAAGGCUUAAAUGGGAAUUGAUCGGUUUAGAAAUAGACCUUCCUUCGGGCAAUUUUCAAGGUGCUGCAUGGUUGUCGUCAGCUCGUGCCGUGAGGUGUUAGGUUAAGUCCUGCAACGAGCGCAACCCCUGUCACUAGUUGCCAUCAUUAAGUUGGGGACUCUAGUGAGACUGCCUACGCAAGUANAGAGGAAGGUGGGGAUGACGUCAAAUCAUCACGGCCCUUACGCCUUGGGCCACMCACGUAAUACAAUGGCCGGUACA